GUUUGUUUCCGCAACUGGAACAUGCCCGAACAAGCCCAAUCUUGUCCGAUCUCAGAAACUAAGCAUGGUCGGGCCUGGUUAGUACUUGAAUGGAAGACCGUCUGGGAAUACCAGGUGCUGUAAGCU
rnacentral:rRNA from 1 species